AGCGAACGCUGGCGGCAGGCUUAACACAUGCCAGUCGAGCGGGCACUUUCGGGUGUCAGCGGCGGACGGGUGAGUAACGCGUGGGAACGUGCCCUCUGGUUCGGAAUAACUCAGGGAAACUUGAGCUAAUACCGGAUACGCCCUUUUGGGGAAAGGCUUGCUGCCGGAGGAUCGGCCCGCGUCUGAUUAGCUAGUUGGUGAGGUAACGGCUCACCAAGGCGACGAUCAGUAGCUGGUCUGAGAGGAUGAUCAGCCACACUGGGACUGAGACACGGCCCAGACUCCUACGGGAGGCAGCAGUGGGGAAUAUUGGACAAUGGGCGCAAGCCUGAUCCAGCCAUGCCGCGUGAGUGAUGAAGGUCUUAGGGUUGUAAAGCUCUUUUAUCCGGGACGAUAAUGACGGUACCGGAGGAAUAAGCCCCGGCUAACUUCGUG
rnacentral:rRNA from 1 species